ACAAAAUUUCUUGAAUCUCUUUACACCGUCGCCGGCGAGGCUCUUCUUUUUCCGAUCUUCAUAUCUCACUUAUUUUCGAGGUGCUUGGAUCAACCGAACAGUAUACGAAUCUAUGCCAUGGAAGAUGGAGGAUUUUAUACAGAGCUGUUUUCUUUUCACAAACCUAGAAAAGAUAAGGUCCCAUGGCUCUGAUCUUGCUCUAAUUGUUGGAAUCGGUGGUCUCGGAAUUAUUUUUCAAAUUAUAAUCAGAUGGUCAAUAUGGCGAAAGGAGAAGAUAAAAGGCCCUAAAUGCAAGAAAGGUUUUAAUCUGGUGGCGCCAUCAAGAGCUUAUAUCCCGUUUAUCUUCUAAUGUAACAAAUGAAGUCAAAGAUCGUUUGAUCAAGGUCCAUAAAGGGGCGGGAAAAUGGAAGAACAAACCAUAUCCUUUUUAUGAGGAUCUUUGUAUUGUAUUCGGAAAAGAUCGUGCCACGGGAAUGUUCAAGGUGGGAAUGCAACUAGCAAUGUUCAAGGUAGGAAUGCAAAUAUGCAAUCUGAAGAAACUUCAACUGCGCGUCGUAAGAAGAGAAAACGUCAAGUAGAUCCCAUGGCUGACUGAUUUAGUAAUGCGGUUACUAAACUUGGAGAAACUUUGGAGAAAAUGGCGAACAAACUUAGCAGGGGUGUAGAACGAGAAGACGAACUUGAUAAGAAACGUUCGAUGAUCACUCUUGAGAUAUUAAAAAUGCAUACGUUGGCCCAACGGGAGAAGUAUAAAGCAAUUUCAUUGAUAAGAGACGAUCCUGAAAAGGUGAACACGUUUUGGGAUUUCCAAGAAGCGGAUAGGGAAGGUUAUGUCGAUUGGGUUAUAAAUGGAUGAAAAUUUUGGUGGGUAAAUAUGUGGUUUUGAAAGAACAAGUUGGUAGUUAAAUG